rnacentral:RNase_P_RNA from 1 species
UGUUUUUCAAACACAUCUCACCUAGCUCAGAAGGAAUACCUUUCCUUCUUUCUUUUUUCUUACUGGCAUAGGAGAAAUUCGGAGUAAUCUCUUCACCCCAUACAAAACAAGCUCUGUCCCAGCUCUAAUAGUCCCUGGGCUAGCCGAGUCUGGUGAUGUGAACUGCCCGUGAGGGCCUGGCGUGACACCACGUCUGCAACUGGCAUCAGAAAAGCAGGACCGCGGGCCAGAGUUGGCGCCGGUGUUUAUCGGAGUCUGAUUCUGCUUGUCCUGUGUGUUUCCUCUGGGAGGGCCAUUGCGAAGAUCCGUGUGAGAGCACUUGAGUGCGAUACGCAGCAUGCUAUGGCUCCUAGCACUUGUGCUAGGAGCUCAUAUCAUAAUUCGAUUCCGAUUACUUUGAUGAGGA